rnacentral:rRNA from 1 species
CUCAAAGGAAUUGACGGGGACCCGCACAAGUAGCGGAGCAUGUGGUUUAAUUCGAAGCAACGCGAAGAACCUUACCUAAGCUUGACAUCCUUUUGACCGAUGCCUAAUCGCAUUUUUCCCUUCGGGGACAGAAGUGACAGGUGGUGCAUGGUUGUCGUCAGCUCGUGUCGUGAGAUGUUGGGUUAAGUCCCGCAACGAGCGCAACCCUUGCCUUUAGUUGCCAGCAUUAAGUUGGGCACUCUAGAGGGACUGCCAGGGAUAACCUGGAGGAAGGUGGGGAUGACGUCAAAUCAUCAUGCCCCUUAUGCUUAGGGCUACACACGUGCUACAAUGGGUGGUACAGAGGGCAGCCAAGUCGUGAGGCCGAGCUAAUCCCUUAAAGCCAUUCUCAGUUCGGAUUGUAGGCUGAAACUCGCCUACAUGAAGCUGGAGUUACUAGUAAUCGCAGAUCAGAAUGCUGCGGUGAAUGCGUUCCCGGGUCUUGUACACACCGCCCGUCACACCAUGGGAGUUGGGGGCGCCCGAAGCCGGUUAGCUAACCUUUUGGAAG